CAGCAGGAGCACAGUCCUGUACUUGCAGAACCAGAAGGGCUCUUUUUGGCAACUGCUCUCUGUGCUGUGAUUACUUUUUCUUUUUAAAGAUAGAUCUAUAAUUUAAAAUCUAAUUCAUUAGCACUGCAGAAUCUUGUCCAUCCUGAAUGCGAAUUUUGCCUGCUAAUAAUAGAGAGACAUCACUGCAGCCACCUCUUCAGCUGGCCAAAAGUUCCUGUUUGAGACUGCACCUGACAGAGUUUUUCAUUGCUAAAGAGGCUCUUUCCAUGGAAAGAGGGCCUCUCCAGACCCUCCUUUACCUCCAUGCCCACACCUUGCUGUUAUCUGAGCACUGUUGAAGGAACUUAUCACCAGUGCACCCAUUCCUCCAUAAGUUAUUUGUGACCAUGGUUCCCUGAUGUUGAAAGUUGAAGAAAGAAAGCAUCUUGUCUGGUGAUGGCUCAGCUUGAUCCUGCUGCUGCAGAAGUCCCUGAAGAAAUGCUGAUCUCUUAUUUCAGAUUGCUGACUAAAACUUGGCCCUGUAGCUCCACAGCACAGGCCUGACCUCCUUGCUACUGUACUUCUGUUGAGACUGAUGUCUCCUAGCUGGAAAAGCUGCUGCUGUGGGCCCAGAAAGACUUAAAGGAGAUGGGUUUGUGUGGUCCAAGAGGUCCUGCUGAGAUAAAAGCUCUGGCUGGGCUCCUCCAGAGAACAUGUGGUGACCGUCCCCCCUCCAGGCAGAGUUUCACCUUGGGUGAUAAAACCUUGUUUUAUCUCCUGAGGUGAGCCUGUGAAAUAAUGGUGAAGGGAGCAGUGUUGGUGGGGGAAUAUGCUGGAUAAAACAUGAAUUUUAAGUGAUAUUUCAAGGAAUCUUUUGUCCUCCACAGUUAAAAACAGUCACAGCUGACAAUAAGAAACCUUUCAAAACUCAAAAAUCAGUGGUUUCAGUCCUGUGUUCUUCACAAAAAUGUUUUCUGCAGCAGUUUUCACUAGGGUGUUACCCUGUUUUUCUUUCAGCCUCCAGAAGUGCAUGGAGUGUUAUUGUGGACCUACAAAACAAGUUCUAGGCUCGGACCAAUGUUUUGUUCCAAGUGAGGAUUAACUCUGUAAUUCUGUUUUGGAGAUGAAAGUACAGUUUCAUUCCAUUCCUGAUGUCAUGCAUCCCCCAGCUGCAUUGUUGUGUGAGGACUUGCCAUUGGCAAGCCAUGAAAAUAGAAACCAUCCAUAUUUCAUUGACUAUUCAUUCAGUCUGUAUCCAGUACUUCUUUUGCCUGUGUUUUCCAGUGUCCUGCUGGAGGGAAGAUCAAUCACAGGCAUGUUUUAGUCUGUGAUAUUCCUAGUUUUAUAAUGAUCUUGCUUUCAAUUUGGAUAUUGUAAAAUUGCCCCCUUAGGCUGCUUUGUCUGCGUCUACAGCUCUGCUCUUUUGUGGAAGGGCCAAGCUCCCUCCAACAGAUGGUGUGUUAUUCUACAGCUAAAGCACGUUCUUAUGUGCUAAACUUCAGGUGUCUCUGCUUUUUGGAGCAAAAAGACCCAGAGCUCUCAGUGUGCUAAAGAUAUAGUGUAUAGGUCUGAACUUUGACACAGGAGGGCUAGAAAAGCAGGAAUGCACAAGGUUGAUGUAAUAUUCCAGUUCUAUUGAGAGCCUGCUUAUGGCAGCAAAAUCCUCAGUGUCCCUUUGACUUGCCAGUGCCUCUGGUGUUCACACUGCACUGAACAUCACAGUAACUAAGGCUUCUCCAGGCUUGGCCCACAGUUUGCAGUGUUAUCUGUCACAGAAGGAAUAGACCCAAGGGAAAUGAGCAUUGUUACUCAGUCCCACAAAAUGCUCCUCCUAUGUCUGAGUUGAGCAUCUCCAAUUGGAGCUCCUUGUCCUGCCUGACAGUGCUGUAUCCUGGCUUGGAUGUGGCUUGGAAAGCCUUAAUUAUUACUGCUUUAAUCCCCUUGCUUAUGAAAAAACUUGAAGUUCGUAUUCAGUUUUAGAUAUUGUGCAAUAUAUUCAACUGACAAAAAAAAAAAGGCAAAACAAGAAAACCCCAACCUUGAGCCAUUUGGAGAGGCGGUUUUUCCAGCUAAGCUGCAGGCUAUUAGAUUGCACAGCAGAACUCUUGGUGAGUUCAAAGUGAGUUUACUGUUGCUCUGUGGGUAUUUAGUGAGUCAGUGUAAACCUCUUUAAUUCUGUUACAUCAGUAUUGCAACUUACAUCCUGCUUUUCCAAUACCUUUCCUCAGCUAAUAAUAAUAGGAUUUUCCUGUAACAGAAAGGUACUAAAACACUUCCAGACUAUUAGAUUUUUAGUUUGACUGCAGAAAAUGGGCACAAGAAUUACCAAAUGUGAGUAGGCACUCUCCAUCUCUAUCCCUGAUGCACAUUUGUUUUUAAGUGUAUGAACCUGAUGGAGAUUUGUUUUGAUGAGCUUUUGCCAGGUUGGCCUUUUGUUCCAACAGCAUUAUUUCUGAGUAAGUGAGUCAAAUAAACUGCCUUUGAGUUUUCCAGCAUGCUGUCUCUCCUCCAGAUGAAAAGCUGGUAAUUGUGAUUCAGUUCUGCCAAAUCUAUUCUGUUACAAAGUAUUUCUAGGUAAGUGGCUAUAGAGUAAAUCUGUACUGCUCUUGCAAGGAUCCUUGCUCAU